rnacentral:rRNA from 1 species
UACGUAGGGUGCGAGCGUUGUCCGGAAUUAUUGGGCGUAAAGAGCUCGUAGGCGGUGUGUCACGUCGUUCGUGAAAACCUGCAGCUUAACUGUGGGCGUGCGGUCGAUACGGGCAUCACUGGAGUUCGGCAGGGGAGACUGGAAUUCCUGGUGUAGCGGUGAAAUGCGCAGAUAUCUGGAGGAACACCGGUGGCGAAGGCGGCAUUCUGGACCGAUAUUGACGCUGAGGAGCGAAAGCCAGGGGAGCAAACGGG